GGGGUUGACAGGAUUUGACAGCAGGAUGAGAUGGUACGUAAGCACGCGGAGCGUCGGUAGCUUGCUCCUUAAACUGAGUUAUCAAAAAUUUAAUUGGCGAAAACAAUUACGCUCUCGCUGCCUAAUCGAAGUACAGUAGAUUACUGGCUUAAUUCCGUCACAAGGUGAUGGAACGAGACAUCACUCCAAGGAUGUUGUUCCGAAUCUGAGGAUAUAGUGGUGCAGGAAAAUCGGAAAUAGCUCUUGCAGGCCUCGAUGCAGGGGUGAGAUUUAGAGGCUAAGGUAGCGGUUGGUGGUCCGGGUCUUGCCGUCACACGAAAAUGAAGGCCGGAAUAAACGUGUAGAAAGCGUAUGAUUUCCCUGUUUGGACGCGGGUUCGACUCCCGCCAGCUCCACAA
rfam:Bacteroidales bacterium KA00344 genomic scaffold Scaffold1112, whole genome shotgun sequence.